AAUCUUGCGCAAUGGGCGAAAGCCUGCCGCAGCCAUGCCUCGUGAAUGAGGAAGGACGGAGGAUGGUAAAUUUCUUUCAUUGGGGACGAUAAUGACGGUACGCAGACAAGAAGCACCGGCUAACUUCGUGCCAGCAGCCGCGGUAAGACGAAGGGGGCUAGCGUUGCUCGGAAUUACUGGGCGUAAAGGGCGCGUAGGCGGACAUUUAAGUCAGGGGUGAAAUCCCAGGGCUCAACUCUGGAACUGCCUUUGAUACUGGGUGUCUUGAGUGUGAGAGAGGUAUGUGGAACUCCGAGUGUAGAGGUGAAAUUCGUAGAUAUUCGAAAGAACACCAGUGGCGAAGGCGACAUACUGGCUCAUUACUGACGCUGAGGCGCGAAAGCGUGGGGAGCAAACA
rnacentral:rRNA from 1 species